UCCUUAGAUGUUCUGGGCUGCACACGUGCUACACUGGCAGGUUCAGCGAGCUUCAUGCCCUGAUCUGAAAGGAAUGGGAAAUCUUUUCAAAACCUGCCGUGCUUGGGGUAGAUGUUUGCAAUUAUUCAUCUUCAACGAGGAUUGCCUUGUAAGCGCACGUCAUCAGCGUGCAUUGAAUACGACCCUGUAUUCUGUACACACCGCCCGUCGCUCCUACCGAUUGAAGUUUUCGGUGAGUUGACAGGAGGAUUUUUUUGAAACUGGUUCGCCAGUGGAUUUUAGAUCCAAAUGCCAACGAAUCGAUGGCUUUAGAGGAAGGAGAAGUCGUAACA
rnacentral:rRNA from 1 species